GACAGAGGUGCCAAGCGUUAGGCGGAAUCACUGGGCUUAAAAGGCGCGUGUAGGCGGACCAGCAAGUCGGACGAUGAAAUCCCGUGAGCUAACUCAGGAACUGCAUCCGAAACUGCUGGUCUGGAGUGGUGGAGAGGGAAGCAGAAUUCCUGGUGUAGAGGUGAAAUUCGUAGAUAUCAGGAGGAACACCGGUGGCGAAGGCGGCUUCCUGGACACUUACUGACGCUGAGAACGGCGAAAGCGUGGGGAGCAAACAGG
rnacentral:rRNA from 1 species